UGCCCAGCAACUCCUAUCCCUACCUCCACGUGGUACCGGCCAGACUGCGAGCAACCUAAAGGAAGA
rnacentral:ribozyme from 1 species